rnacentral:rRNA from 1 species
CAGUAGCCGCGGGAAUACGUAGGUGGCAAGCGUUGUCCGGAAUUAUUGGGCGUAGAGGGCUCGCAGGCGGUUUCUUAAGUCUGAUGUGAAAGCCCCCGGCUCAACCGGGGAGGGUCAUUGGAAACUGGGAAACUUGAGUGCAGAAGAGGAGAGUGGAAUUCCACGUGUAGCGGUGAAAUGCGUAGAGAUGUGGAGGAACACCAGUGGCGAAGGCGACUCUCUGGUCUGUAACUGACGCUGGGGAGCGAAAGCGUGGGGAGCGAACAGGAUUAGAUACCCCCGUAGUCCCUGUCUCUUAUAC